rnacentral:rRNA from 1 species
UACAGAGGUCUCAAGCGUUGUUCGGAUUCAUUGGGCGUAAAGGGUGCGUAGGCGGCGCGGUAAGUCGGGUGUGAAAUCUCGGAGCUUAACUCCGAAACUGCAUUCGAUACUGCCGUGCUUGAGGACUGGAGAGGAGACUGGAAUUUACGGUGUAGCAGUGAAAUGCGUAGAGAUCGUAAGGAAGACCAGUGGCGAAGGCGGGUCUCUCGGACAGUUCCUGACACUGAGGCACGAAGGCCAGGGGAGCAAACGGGG